UACAGAGGUCUCAAGCGUUGUUCGGAUUCAUUGGGCGUAAAGGGUGCGUAGGCGGCGCGGUAAGUCGGGUGUGAAAUCUUGGAGCUUAACUCCGAAACUGCAUUCGAUACUGCCGUGCUUGAGGACUGGAGAGGAGACUGGAAUUUACGGUGUAGCGGUGAAAUGCGUAGAUAUCGUAAGGAAGACCAGUGGCGAAGGCGGGUCUCUGGACAGUUCCUGACGCUGAGGCACGAAGGCCAGGGGGGAGCAAACGGG
rnacentral:rRNA from 1 species